GACGGAGGUCCCGAGCGUUGUUCGGAAUUAUUGGGCUUAAAGCGCGUGUAGGCGGAGCGGUAAGUACCUUGUGAAAUCCCCGGACUCAAUCCGGGAACUGCUUGGUAUACUGCCGUUCUCGAGGCAGGUAGGGGUCACUGGAACCUUAGGUGGAGCGGUGAAAUGCGUAGAUAGUCUAAGGGAACGCCUGUGGCGAAAGCGGGUGAGCUGGGCCUGUCCUGACGCUGAGACGCGAAAGCGUAGGGAGCAAACGGG
rnacentral:rRNA from 1 species